CAUGAACAGGGGAGGGUCAGAGAGAGAGAGACACACAGAAUUGGAAACGGGCUCCAGGCUCUGAGCUGUCAGCACAGAGCCCCACGCAGGGCUCGAACUCACGGACCGCAAGAUCAUGACCUGAGCCGCAGUCGGCCGCUUAACUGACUGAGCCACCCAGGUGCCCCCAAGAGAGUUUUUUAAAACGAUCACCACACCACUCCAUGUGAACUGUAGGGAUGGUUCCUGCUGUGUAUUUAACAUGUCAGUUGAAAUUUGCAAGAGGCUUCAACUUGUUCUGGACUUUUUUUUUCAUUUCCGUAAGCUCGGUCGGUAGAUGUGUUUGUAAAUUCCUGCUUGUUUCUAGAAAGUGGGGGUGGGGGUGGGGAAAGAGGAAGGGCCUUAUCUCCAACUGUUCCCAUUAGUCUGUACCAAGUAAUUUAAUUUUUUUCCCCGCUGUUGUGCUUACAAUGUUUUCAUUCCUAUGUCCGUGCUACGUAAUUAAAAAUUAUUUCUUACAAAUCUGUCUAAUGAGUAAUGACUUUACCAUCAAAAUCCCCCGACUCCCACAGAGUUAAAUUAUAGGGAGGCAGUUAACAUUUGCCUGAAAAGUAAUGGAAAUAACUUUUGGAAUCAAAGAAAUGAGACAAAUCUAAUCCGGCGUGGUCUCUUAGGCUCUAGGAUUUACGUGCGUGUGUCAAGUGCACGCAUAUCAUGCGAGACGGGGCCCUUGGUGGUCUGUAUUAGCUAUGAUUUCUGUUUGAGGAUUCCUCUUACUCUCUCUAAUACAUCCGAAUUCACAUGCUUUUUUUUUUUUCCUCUCUCCAGCAGAUUGCUGGAAUCUGUCCUCAAAAAGGCUGGACUUCUACAAAUGCUAUUUCAACUAUCGGGUGUCUACUCAAGCUAGCACUCUCCUGGUUUGGCCCGAGGGUGGCUGAGAGGACCCGUGGCCAUUUUGCAAGCUUCUGCUGGUUCUACAGCCCAUAUCAAGAUCUGAAGUAAUCUCUACACCCAGUGUGGGUCUCAAACUUAUAACCCUGAGAUGAAGAGUCACCUGCUCUACCAACUGAGCCAGCGGGGGCGCCCCAACAGGAUGGUUAGCGAAAUGGAAGAGGCAAUGUUCAUAAGCAAAUACGGAAGACUUGACUAAAGUUGAGCAGGAAAACUUUCGUUUGAUUCUGCACAGGAGACCAGAACAGACAUUAGCUUAAAUAUUCACACAGAAAUGUCAGCUCGUAGAUCAGGGGGCACACUGGGAAUUAUG